AAUACGACUCCGUUUACAACUACACACACACUCACACAAACACACACACGUAUCGUAAAGAUUAAUGAAAAUCGCAUGGGAAAAUGAAAUAUGAAACGCUUCAGGAGAGCGCGUCCACGUCCACAUGAGUGGCUCUUGGCUCUGGAGGAGAUUCAUGACCAGCGGGAGAGGAGAAGGAGAAUGGGAGAGUUGACAUUUUCAACCACCGCGACGAUGAGAUGACGAUCAUAUGGGCAAACGCUGCAGGGGAGCCGAACAAACGCCGCCUAGACGCAGAGCAGAAGAAAACGAAGAGGAAGGGAUGCAGAAUCAGUAGCAAAAGCAGCGGGAGCAUUGCCAUUGCAAAGGGAACACAGCCAGAUAGUUGGAGCGCAAGAGAGAAGAGUGAGCCAGAGAGCCAACGUGUGAAGCGAAACUAAUUGGCAAAUUGAUAUUACAGCAAUAAUACCAAAAGAAAUACCACAAAUUACUAUACAGUGGUAACAUGCGGGUGUACUUAAAGAAGAGAAAGAAGUCAUAUAGAGAGACAUAUUCAGCGCUCACUCUACUUCGGACCCCACCCCACCCACCACGAUACCCUUACUUUAUAGGCUAAUCAAAUCACUGAAGCAGCGAUAGAGAGGGGGAUCUCUCCAUGGAGCACUUGAAGAACCAUCCCCAACACGAACCGAAAAAAGAAAAGAAAACCAGUUUUAUAGAAUUCACGAAAAAGACUCCGCAACGAUCGGUUUUAUGGGAACUGAAGGCCGUUCAAAGACAGUUUGUAUACCCUUUCAGAUGGUAGGGUAAUAAAGUUUUAGUCAAAAGAGU